GACGAACGCUGGCGGCGCGCUUAACACAUGCAAGUCGAACGGAAAGGCCUGCUUUCCCUUGUGGAUUGCGGGUACUCGAGUGGCGAACGGGUGAAUAACACGUGAGUGAUCUGCCCCCAACUUUGGUAUAAGCCUGGGAAACUGGGUCUAAUUCCCUAUAGGACUGCAGGGUGGUGCCGGUGGUGGAAAACGAUUUUCUAGUGGUUGGGGAUGAGCUCGUGGCCUAUCAGCUUGUUGGUGGGGUAAUGGCCUACCAAGGCGGCGACGGGUAGCCGGCCUGGGGGGGUGGGCGGGCGAGUGGGACCGGAGACACGGCCACGAAUACUACGGGAGGAAGCCGUGGGGAAGAAUGCGUGGGGGGCGGAGGCCUGAUGCAGCAACGCCGAGUGAGGGAUGACGGCUUUGGGGUUGUGGACUCCUUUCGACCGAGCGCAAGCCACCUGGAUGGAGGGGUGGUGACGGUAGUGGUAGAAGAAGCACCGGCUAACUACGUG
rnacentral:rRNA from 1 species